rnacentral:rRNA from 1 species
UACGGAGGGUGCGAGCGUUGUCCGGAAUCACUGGGCGUAAAGGGCGCGUAGGCGGCCUGAUAAGUAGGGGGUGAAAUCCUGCGGCUUAACCGCAGGGCUGCCUUCUAAACUGUCAGGCUAGAGCACAGUAGAGGCAGGUGGAAUUCCCGGUGUAGCGGUGGAAUGCGUAGAGAUCGGGAAGAACAUCAGUGGCGAAGGCGGCAUCCUGGACCGGUAUUGACGCUGAGGCGCGAAAGCUAGGGUAGCAAACGGG